UACGAAGGGGGGCUAGCGUUGCUCGGAAUUACUGGGCGUAAAGGGUGCGUAGGCGGUUGUUUUAAGUCUGUCGUGAAAUCCCCCGGGCUCAACCUGGGAAUUGCAUUCGAUACUGGAUGGCUAGAGUUCGGCAGAGGGAAGUGGAAUUUCAGGUGUAGCGGUGAAAUGCGUAGAUAUCUGAAGGAACAUCAGUGGCGAAAAGCGACUUCCUGGACCAGAACUGACGAUCAGGCACGAAAGCGUGGGGAGCAAACAGG
rnacentral:rRNA from 1 species